UACAGAGGUCCCGAGCGUUGUUCGGAUUUAUUGGGCGUAAAGGGUGCGUAGGCGGCGCGAGCAGUCGGCGGUGAAAGCCCGGAGCUCAACUCCGGGUCGGCCGUCGAUACUCUCGUGCUUGAGCACUGUAGAGGCAGGCGGAAUUCCGGGUGUAGCGGUGGAAUGCGUAGAGAUCCGGAAGAACACCGGUGGCGAAGGCGGCCUGCUGGGCAGUAGCUGACGCUGAUGCGCGACAGCGUGGGGAGCAAACAGG
rnacentral:rRNA from 1 species